ensembl:lncRNA
GGAGGAUACAAGAGAAAUUAAGAAAUUUGCCCAAAGUUGUACAUCUGAAAGUGGAAAAGUCUAGAUUCAAACCCACAGCUUUCUGACUAAACAGCCACGGGACUUCAGUCCCACUCUUUUUCUCUAGUGCACCAGAGGAUAUCAGUCUCUCCACAUGCCUGCUUGGCAAAAAUAUAGGGAAACUCUGCUGUUUGGAAACAAAGGGACUAAAGGAGGUGAAGAACAAGAGCAGAAAACCCAAUUCAGUAGUUACUAGAAGUCACAAGCUCCCAGCUACAACGAUGGAUGAGAAUGAAUACUGGAGAAGCUGCUAAAAGAACCCUCGUACAGCCUCUUCUCUGUAGCCGAAGGACCAGGUAACAAGAGAAAAACCUUCACCCAAUAACCGGUGUAGAGUAACCUGUAGAGUAAGCCCCAGCCUCAUCCUUUCUAGCAAAGUUUUGCGUGGAAAAGCAAGACUUCCACCCUUGGCAGGCAACAGUGAGAUACUCUAACUUUCCUUCCACAGCUUGGUAUCAGAAGAGGCUGACUGGAGAACUGAGCUUUCCAUCCCUGACAGAUCUCGUGCCAUGCUGCAGUGGAGACCAGGACAGAGUCUGGAUCGCCACUUCUCUGCAGCAGUAACAAGGUACCUCCACUUCCUCACCGAGGGUGUGUGAGAACAAGAACUAUGCAGUCAAGGCUCUUAGCACUACUCCGUGAUAACGAGUCCACUUCCUCCAAGGAACUGGCAGCGGGGGCCCCAGUGAAGCCUGGUGACGAGAUCUUCUCCUGCUUCCAGCCAGGUCCCAGCUGAAGUUGGAGAGAGAGCUGGAACUCUGAGCCCGUCCAGCAGUAACAAAGAGCCCCCGUUCAUCCCAAUGGGAAACCAGGCCAUGUGAAGAACCUGCACUUCCGGCUCGUCUGAAGGUAACAAGACGACACCCCCACACUCUUCUUGCACUGAAGUGGCCAUUGGAGGAAGCUUGAUAAACACAAAAUUUAAAUAAUAAUCAGAUUUUAGCUUGAAUGUCCAGGUUUAGGGGGAAAUCACUCACUUGUCACACAAAGAAUGAGAAUAAGCAAAUAAUUUGACUCCAACACCAGGAUUAUAUGGAUGUUCUUUUCUACAGGAACCAUACAGAUGCUUCAGCGAGUAAUUACACAAUGCUUACAUUUGCUUUCCUAAGGAAAUAAAAGAAAUAAGAAUCAAUGGAAAUUUUAGCACCCCAAAAGUAUCCAUUCAUCUCUAGAUGAUAAAGUGUGAUUAUCUCUAUUAAUCAGGAUAUUGUUCAGUCUUUAAGAAGAAGGAUGUCCUGCCAUUUGUGACAAUGCGGAUGAACCUGGAGGGCAUUAUGCUAAAUGAAGUGAGAGGCACCGUGAGACAUGCCUCCCUCCCUCAGCUGAACCCGGACAGACAAAUGGUAGAAGGCGGGUGAGAGGGGCUGCUGCUGGGCAACGUGAGCAGUUUCACUUUGCAGUCAGUGCUGCAGAGCUACUGUCCAGCACGGGGCCUAUGCCUGUGUGCUAUGUUAGACAUCGAAAGUUUCCUAAAGAAGAUUUUAGGUACUCGUACCAUACACACAGAAAAUGUUAACUAUGUGAGGUGAUGUACGUUAGUUUGCCUAACUGGUAAUUAUUCCACAAGGUAUAUACAUAAAUCAAAAUCUGACACUUGUAUACCUUAAAUAUAUACCUUUUUGUCAGUUAUACCUCAAUAAAGAAAGGGGAGGGAGAGGUAGGUUUCCCCCAUGUUGUAUGUUGUAAAUGGCAUGGCUCAUUAAUACCAACUUUUGGGCAGUUAUCCAUAACAUUUAUGUCCCUGAAGCUUUCUCCUGCCCCAAUAAAUGGUUAAGGCAAGCAAAUUAAGCACUUAGAGAGAACAACAGUUUAUAUGUUUUGUAGGCUAAGAUUCAUGAGUUUUUAAAAUGUUGUCUAAGUUACUCUAUAUUUAUUCUAAUGUUGUCUCUACAGAUAUCCUCCUACCCCACCCAAACUCUGACACGCGCAUUGAAAAGCUCAGUUUUAUGUAUUUGUCACCACUCCCAACUUAACUGAGUGUUGUUUUCACUUAAACAUCUAUGUGGCUGAGGGUUCAAACCGACUCACGCUAUAUAAAUUCUCUUGUAUAAAGACUGUCUCCAUCCUUGGACACAAGUCUAGAAGUUUUACACCUGUCCCAAGGAACUGUUAAAUGAUUUUGUAUUUUGGAAUAGAGAACAGUUUGUUAAACUGGGAAUAUAACACAGAAAUGAUUACAUCAAAUUACCUUCAGCUCAAAGAAAAAUAUAUGGACUCCAUUUUCUCAGAUCAGGAUUCCCUUGGGUUUGUUUGCUCUGAAGUCCUGAAAAGAAAUGAGAACUUCUCUGAUGCUGUCAUAGAUUUUCACACUGGCAGUCAUAUGUCUUUAAUAAGUCUGAAUUAUCAUUAGAUAAAAUUCUCCCCUUUGAAGGGUCAGUUUGGGGGACCCCUAAAAAUUACACAUGUUUACUCACAAACCAGUUUCUUAACUGCAGUCAUGCGACCACAGCGACCCUAUUCACUAUCCUGGCUCCCGCGUGCACAGCUCAGAGAGUCGCUUGUAGCAUCUACAGCAUUGCUCCUGCCCGGGGUGAGAAUGCUGAUGUUUAUGUGACUGUCAGAGCUUAACCGUAAAGCUGAAGAACAUUCUUGGUCUACAAGGGUAUACUGUCAAGCAUUCUGUCGUCUUACACUUACCACAUAAGUCGCCAACUCUUCAGUCCGAACAGUGAGUUAAAAAAUUGUCUCAUAUUUCACUUGGUUGGCUAUAUCUAAAGUGAAAGUGAAGUCACUCAGUCGUGUCCGACUCUUUGCGACCCUAUGGACUGUAGCCUACCAGGCUUCUCCGUCCAUGGGAUUUUCCAGGCAAGAGUACUGGAGUGGGCUGCCAUUUCCUUCUCCGUGGCUAUAUCUAAACUAGCUUUUAAAUCUGUCUAUAUAC